ensembl:ncRNA Y37A1B.336 ncRNA
UGGAAUGGGGAGAGAGGGGGAGAGACACCAUCUGAUCAUUGGAACACGAAGAGAGUUCCAGACAGCAAAAGUAUUCACUAGAGACCAUGGUGACCCGAGAGACCCGAGACACACAUCCAGGA